GUGCGGUGGGGCCAGAUGUUACAUUCCCCUCACCUCACGGCACCCUUAAGGAACCAGCUGAGACAUGUGAGGGCAAGUGACAAACAGCUCUUUUGCCAGCAGUGCAAGUGAGAGCAGGAUCACUGCUAGAUAAACCACCUACCUGUAUGCGAGCUUUCGACUCAUACUAGAGCACGGCGGGAAGGAUCCAGUAGAAAAGGAAAGAUGAAGACACAGAAGAGGGAAGGGAGAACUGAUGGAGCAAGGCCGCUGAGAAGCCUUUGUCUGCUGAUGGGAAUGAGGUAGUGGACAGCCAAGCCACACAACAGGAGCUGGAGAAAGACGUCUUGGGCAAUUUGCACACGAAUUUCCUUCUUUAAAUAACUACACAG